CCACACAUCUUCACAAAGCUUUAUAAAUCUUUGCUCAAAUGUCAUCUCCUCAGAGAGGCCUUCCCAAACCACACUGUCUAAAUCGGCACCCGCCCUUCUCCAUCUCCUACUCUUUUUUUUUUUUUUUUUUUUUUUUUUUUUAGAGAUAGGGUCUUGGCUGGGCAUGGUGGCUCACGCCUGGAAUCCCAGCACUUUGGGAGGCCA
rnacentral:lncRNA from 1 species